rnacentral:antisense_RNA from 1 species
UGAACGGCCAGAUGGCGUCCCGGUCGACCAGCAUGCGAUCACCGGCGUGCAUGCCACCGGCCAGCACGCCCAGCCCGAGGGUCUCGCCGUACUCGCCCGUGCCGAGCUUGCUGAGCUUGCCGUGCACGACCAGGACCAGCUGAUCCAUCGGGUUGCCGAAUUCGGCGACGAUCUCGCCGGGGUCGAGGUCGCGCUGUUCGAAACUUCCGGCGAGGGCGCCCAGGAUGUCCUCGUCCUCCAUGUCCCGCAGCUGCGACAGCUCGCGCAGCUCGACCGGGAUGACGCGGGCCUGCGGGCCGUCGACGUCGAACUCGAUCUCACCGUUGCCGAGGGUGUAGGUCAGUCGCCGAUUGACCCGGUACACACCGCCUCUGACCUCGGUCCACGGCAGCCUGCGGGUCAGCCACCGGGAGGUGAUGCCCUGCAUCUGCGGCUCGGACUUGGUGGUGUGCGCCAGAUUGCGCGCGGCGCCGGUGGAAAGGCUCUUACGAACAUGGUU